GCUGUGAUCAUGCUGGCCGCCAGCACCGCCCAGUAGACCAGGGCGGCCGCCUCCCCGCUGCUCGGAACAUGAGAUUUCCUCCCUGGCAGCGGGAGGCCUGGCGUCUUAUUAGGAGCAGAGCACGUGCUGUCAGCGGACCUGAGACCUCAGCUGACCAGGCGAGAGGGGGCCUCUGGCCGGCCGUGGAGCCAGAAGACAGUUGUGUGGAGGCGGUAGAGAGGAGGGGAGUGGGAGGAGACCCCAGCUCGCCCCCAAGACUGCGUGCCGCCCCCUGCCUUCCUGUCUUAUCCGUGCGUGCUUUCCUGUUGGGAGCCUCACAGCCGCUUCAUGGGGAAUGGAGCAAGGAGAGGCCAGACGCCCCCGUGAGCGAGUGGGGUAUGGGAUGGGGAGCAGGUUUUGGGCUGAGCGGCUGCUUAGCUGUCCCCCCAGGCGGGGUCUCUGCCCCAUGUCUGCUGGGCUCUGGUGUUUGAUUUUUCAUCCAUUCAGCCUGAAGGACGGUGAUGCCUGCUGUGUGCGAGUGGAGAGCUCCUGGCCCUGGGGGAGCCGAGAAAAUGGAGAGGCCGGGCCACGAGCAGGAGGAGAGGGCGGCCUUCCCUCAGUGCCCAGGAAGCGGGUCCUUCCCGCGUGGAACGCUGCAGACACAGGACACGGGGAGACACAGGCGUAUACCUGCUCCCACUAGGACCACCGCACGGGAUGUGGGACACCCA
rnacentral:lncRNA from 1 species